rnacentral:misc_RNA from 1 species
ACGACCUCCUGCACAUUUGUGUCCACUUGUGUCCACAAGUGCGGGGUGUUGGGCGCUGCGGGUCCCCGGACCGGCUCGCCUGAAAUGCAGUGGUGGUGCCGAGGAGGCCCCGAUGCGCCGCUCGAAACGUAAUAACAUUCCGUCGAGAGCGGGCGGCAGCAGGGGCGGGCUCAGCGCGCUGCCUUACAGGGAUGCGGGGCAACCCCGAUCCGUCUACCACA